UACGGGGGGAGCAAGCGUUGUUCGGAUUUACUGGGCGUAAAGGGCGCGUAGGCGGCGUGACAAGUCACUUGUGAAAUCUCGGGGCUUAACUCCGAAACUGCAUUCGAUACUGCCGUGCUUGAGGACUGGAGAGGAGACUGGAAUUUACGGUGUAGCGGUGAAAUGCGUAGAUAUCGUAAGGAAGACCAGUGGCGAAGGCGGGUCUCUGGACAGUUCCUGACGCUGAGGCACGAAGGCCAGGGGAGCAAACGGG
rnacentral:rRNA from 1 species